CGGGAUGUAGCGCAGCCUGGAUAGCGCACCUGCUUGGGGUGCAGGGGGUCGGAGGUUCAAAUCCUCCCAUCCCGACCA
rnacentral:tRNA from 1 species